ACUCUGGGGUCGGCUGCUGAUUCCCUCAAACUGUUUCGAGUCGAUGGAAGCCGGUGUGAAUCCGGCGCGGUCGCGCCACUGUUACCAACGUCGUCCCACGAGGGCGACGCCCGGAAGUCAGACCCAUCGCCGGACAUGUCCUGCC
rnacentral:ncRNA from 2 species